GCGUUGGUGGUAUAGUGGUUGAACAUAGCUGCCUUCCAGCAGUUGACCCGGGUUCGAUUCCCGGCCAACGCA
rnacentral:tRNA from 2 species